CGAACGGGUGAGUAACACGUGGGUGAUCUGCCCUGCACUUCGGGAUAAGCCUGGGAAACUGGGUCUAAUACCGGAUAUGACCUUGGGAUGCAUGUCCUUUGGUGGAAAGCUUUUGCGGUGUGGGAUGGGCCCGCGGCCUAUCAGCUUGUUGGUGGGGUUAAGGCCUACCAAGGCGACGACGGGUAGCCGGCCUGAGAGGGUGACCGGCCACACUGGGACUGAGAUACGGCCCAG
rnacentral:rRNA from 1 species